AAUACAUUUAGCUAACCUGUAUCUACCUACUAUUUGUCAGGCUGUGUGCUGUUUUAUUUGUAAUAUAUCAUUUACCCUCUACAAUGAACUCAUGAGAUAAGUAUUAUUCGGUCUUAUUAUUAUCUCCAUUAGAUUGAAAACAACUGGACAAAUAAUCCAGUGAGUUUUAAGCAAUAUAAAUCUAAACAGUAAUUAUGGAUGGAAGGAGUAGUUUGGGGAAAACCCAACAAAGGGAGCCUGAAGUAGAAAAGGAACUGCAACAGGAACCAACAUUUAGAGCAUACUGAAUCUGUUCUGCUUCUAUUGAACUAAAUGGAACAUUCCAAGGAUUCAAUGGAUGGGACCUUUCUUCUCAGUCAUCCCCAUGAUAACAGCAUAAAGUCACAGAGCUCCACGGGAUUAGGAAGCUCACCAUUGAUUAUUCUCGCUGGCCAGGCAAAGCCUGGACUUUAGGAGCCGGCUAUGGAAAAGUGAGCAAAUAUGGAGAUGGAAACUCUGGGAGAAAUCCAGGGGUAAGGAAAUUUUAUUUCUUAUGCCCAUGUGGCCCUGGUGGCUUCCCUUAUCUAUAUGCAGUAUCUGGCUCUCAGUC
rnacentral:lncRNA from 1 species